rnacentral:rRNA from 1 species
AGCGAACGUUAGCGGCAGGCCUAACACAUGCAAGUCGAGCGAGAAAGGGGCUUCGGCUCCUAGUAAAGCGGCGGACGGGUGCGUAACACGUGGAUAAUCUGCCUUUCAGUGGGGAAUAACACUCCGAAAGGAGUGCUAAUGCCGCAUGUCACAACGAGAUCUCCGGAUCAUGUUGGAAAAGGGGACGCCCGCAAGGGGUUCUCGCUGGAGGAUGAGUCCGCGGCCCANCAGCUAGUUGGUGAGGUAACGGCUCACCAAGGCAAAGACGGGUAGCUGGUCUGAGAGGAUGAUCAGCCACACUGGGACUGAGACACGGCCCAGACUCCUACGGAAGGCAGCAGUGGGGAAUAUUGGACAAUGGGCGCAAGCCUGAUCCAGCCAUGCCGCGUGAGUGAUGAA